rnacentral:rRNA from 1 species
AACGAACGCUGGCGGCAGGCCUAACACAUGCAAGUCGAACGAAGGCUUCGGCCUUAGUGGCGCACGGGUGCGUAACGCGUGGGAAUCUGCCCUUGGGUUCGGAAUAACAGUGGGAAACCGCUGCUAAUACCGGACGAUGACGUAAGUCCAAAGAUUUAUCGCCCAAGGAUGAGCCCGCGUAGGAUUAGCUAGUUGGUGGGGUAAUGGCCCACCAAGGCGACGAUCCUUAGCUGGUCUGAGAGGAUGAUCAGCCACACUGGGACUGAGACACGGCCCAGACUCCUACGGGAGGCAGCAGUGGGGAAUAUUGGACAAUGGGCGAAAGCCUGAUCCAGCAAUGCCGCGUGAGUGAUGAAGGCCUUAGGGUUGUAAAGCUCUUUUACCCGGGAUGAUAAUGACAGUACCGGGAGAAUAAGCUCCGGCUAACUCCGUGCCAGCCGCCGCGGUAAGAC